AGGGCGUACGGUGAAUGCCUUGGUGCCAACAGGCGAAGAAGGACGCGGCAAGCUGCGAAAAGCCUCGGGAAGCUGCAAGCAAGCGAUGAUCCGGGGAUAUCCGAAUGGGGUAACCUGAUCGAGGCAAUACUCGAUCGUUCAUACCUGAAUACAUAGGGUAUGAAACGCGAAACCCGCUGAAGUGAAACAUCUCAGUAAGCGGAGGAAAAGAAAGAGAAAUCGAUUCCGUAAGUAGUGGCGAGCGAAAGCGGAUGGAGCCCAAACCGAAGGUAUUCCUUCGGGGUUGUAGGACCACGACCUAUUCGACCAUACUGGAUAGUAGAACAGCCUGGAAAGGCUGGCCGUAGAAGGUGAAAGCCCUGUAGACGAAAUCCAGAGUGGGAAUUAGUGGUAUCCUGAGUAAUACAUCACACGUGGAACGAUGUAUGAAACCGCGCGGACCACCGCGCAAGGCUAAAUACUAGUUGGCGACCGAUAGUGAACAAGUACCGCGAGGGAAAGGUGAAAAGAACCGCUGUGAGCGGAGUGAAAUAGAACCUGAAACCGUAUGUCUACAAAGUGUCAGAGCAGAGCAAUCUGCGAUGGCGUGCCUUUUGUUUAAUGAGUCUGCGAGUCAGUGUUUGUGGCAAGACUAAGGGCUUCCGGCCCGGAGUCGCAGCGAAAGCAAGUCCGAACAGGGCGCAAUAAGUCGCAGGUACUGGACCCGAAGCGGAGGUGACCUACCCUUGGCCAGGUUGAAGCAUGGGUAAAACCAUGUGGAGGACCGAACAGGUGAACGUUGAAAAGUUCUCUGAUGAGCUGAGGGUAGGAGUGAAAGGCUAAUCAAACCCCGUGAUAGCUGGUUCUCUUCGAAAUGCAUUUAGGUGCAGCGUCACGUGCUGAUGCGCGGGGGUAGAGCACUGACAAGGCUAGGGGGCACACCCGCUUACCAAACCUUAUCAAACUCCGAAUACCGUGCAAUGGAACGUGGCAGUGAGACAGUGGGGGAUAAGCUUCAUUGUCGAGAGGGAAACAACCCAGACCAGCAGCUAAGGUGCCUAAAUAACGCUCAGUGGAAAGGAUGUGGGAUUACACAGACAGUGAGGAUGUUGGCUUAGAAGCAGCCACCAUUUAAAAAAUGCGUAAUAGCUUACUCAUCGAGUGAUCCUGCGCCGAAAAUGAUUGGCGAUCAAGCGUUAUACCGAAGCUCUGGACUUUGCCGCAAGGCAGAGUGGUAGAAGAGCGUUGCAUGCGCGUCGAAGGGUGAUGGCGACUGACCCUGGAGCACAUGCAAGUGAGUAUGCAGACAUGAGUAACGUUAAGCCGGGUGAAAUCCCCGGCCGCCGUAAACCCGAGGUUUCCAGGGCAACGUGUUUCGUCCCUGGGUUAGCCGGGACCUAAGCCGAGGCCGAGAGGCGUAGGCGAUGGACAUCAGGUUAAUAAUCCUGAGCUCGCGACCCUUAAACUGGGGGGACGCAUGAGAAAAGAUGACUAGGUUAUUGAAUUCCGAGUUGAGUCUACGGACUCAGCGCAUCAUUGGAUCGAGUGCCAAGAAAAGCCCCAGCGUAUGCUAAGCGACCCGUACCGCAAACCGACACAGGUGGGUGGGUAGAAUAUACCAAGGCGUAAGAGUGAAACCUGGUUAAGGAACUCGGCAAAUUAGCCCCGUAACUUCGGAAGAAGGGGUGCCUGCAGCGAUGCAGGCCGCAGAGAAAUGGCCCAACCGACUGUUUAUCAAAAACACAGCACUCUGCAAAGACGCAAGUCGAAGUAUAGGGUGUGACACGUGACCAAUGCCGAAAGAUUAAGGCAAGGGGUUAGCCGCAAGGCGAAGCUCUGAACCCAAGUCCCGGUGAAUGUCGGCCGUAACUAUAACGGUCCUAAGGUAGCGAAAUUCCUUGUCGGGUAAGUUCCGACCUGCACGAAUCGUGAAACGAGUUGGGCACUGUCUCAACCAGGCGCUCAGUGAAAUUGUAGUGGCGGUGAAGAUGCCGCCUACCCGCAGAAGGACGGAAAGACCCUAUAGACCUUAACUGUAAGCUGUCAUUGUUUCUUCGGUUUUAAUGCUCAGAGUAAGUGGGAGACGCUGAAGACGCCCUUUAGGGGGCGUCCGAGUCAUCAAUGAGACACCACCCUUUGAAACUGGAGGAUCUAACCCUGAGCCGUGAAUCCGGCCAGAGGACCGUGUCAGCCGGUCAGUUUUACUGGGGCGGUAUCCUCCCAAAGAGUAACGGAGGAGCGCGAAGGUGGGCUCAGCCCGGUUGGCAACCGGGUGUCGAGUGCAUGGGCAUAAGCCCGCCUAACUGUGAGACCAACAAGUCGAGCAGAUGCGAAAGCAGGCCCAAGUGAUCCGGCGGUAGAAAGUGGAAUUGCCGUCGCUCAACGGAUAAAAGGUACCUUAGGGAUAACAGGCUGAUCACGCCCAAGAGUUCAUAUCGACGGCGUGGUUUGGCACCUCGAUGUCGGCUCGUCGCAUCCUGGGGCUGGAGAAGGUCCCAAGGGU
rnacentral:rRNA from 1 species